rnacentral:rRNA from 1 species
CUAGUUGGUAGGGUAACGGCUUACCAAGGCAACGAUCGAUAGCUGGUGUGAGAGCACGACCAGCCACACGGGCACUGAGAUACGGGCCCGACUCCUACGGGAGGCAGCAGUAAGGAAUAUUGGUCAAUGGACGAAAGUCUGAACCAGCCAUGCCGCGUGAAGGAUGAAGGCCCUCUGGGUUGUAAACUUCUUUUAUCUAUGAAGAAAUGUCCUGUUUCUACGGGAUUUGACGGUAAUAGAUGAAUAAGCACCGGCUAACUCCGUGCCAGCAGCCGCGGUAAUACGGAGGGUGCAAGCGUUAUCCGGAUUUACUGGGUUUAAAGGGUGCGUAGGUGGGUUGGUAAGUCAGUGGUGAAAUACUUUCGCUUAACGAAGGAACUGCCAUUGAUACUACCAGUCUUGAAUACAGUGGAGGUAGGCGGAAUGCGUCAUGUAGCGGUGAAAUGCUUAGAUAUGACGCAGAACACCAAUUGCGAAGGCAGCUUGCUACACUGUUAUUGACACUGAGGCACGAAAGCGUGGGGAUCAAACAGGAUUAGAUACCCUGGUAGUCCACGCCCUAAACGAUGAUCACUCGAUCUCAGCGAUACACUGUUGGGGUCUAUGUGAAAACAUUAAGUAAUCCACCUGGGGAGUACGAUCGCAAGAUUGAAACUCAAAGGAAUUGACG